AGUGAACGCUGGCGGUAGGCCUAACACAUGCAAGUCGAACGGCAGCACAGUAAGCGCUUGCUCUUACGGGUGGCGAGUGGCGGACGGGUGAGGAAUACAUCGGAAUCUACUUUUUCGUGGGGGAUAACGUAGGGAAACUUACGCUACUACCGCAUACGACCUACGGGUGAAAGCAGGGGAUCUUCGGACCUUGCGCGAUUGAAUGAGCCGAUGUCGGAUUAGCUAGUUGGCGGGGUAAAGGCCCACCAAGGCGACGAUCCGUAGCUGGUCUGAGAGGAUGAUCAGCCACACUGGAACUGAGACACGGUCCAGACUCCUACGGGAGGCAGCAGUGGGGAAUAUUGGACAAUGGGCGCAAGCCUGAUCCAGCCAUACCGCGUGGGUGAAGAAGGCCUUCGGGUUGUAAAGCCCUUUUGUUGGGAAAGAAAAGCAGCAGGUUAAUACCCCGCUGUUCUGACGGUACCCAAAGAAUAAGCACCGGCUAACUUCGUG
rnacentral:rRNA from 1 species